CGUUGUGAGGCGUUGAGCUAACCAGUACUAAUUGCCCGUGAGGCUUGACCAU
rnacentral:rRNA from 1 species